rnacentral:rRNA from 1 species
AUUGAACGCUGGCGGCAGGCUUAACACAAGCAAGUCGAGCGGGGGAAGGUAGCUUGCUACCUAACCUAGCGGCGGACGGGUGAGUAAUGCUUAGGAAUCUGCCUAUUAGUGGGGGACAACAUUUCGAAAGGGAUGCUAAUACCGCAUACGCCCUAAGGGGGAAAGCAGGGGAUCUUCGGACCUUGCGCUAAUAGAUGAGCCUAAGUCGGAUUAGCUAGUUGGUGGGGUAAAGGCCUACCAAGGCGACGAUCUGUAGCGGGUCUGAGAGGAUGAUCCGCCACACUGGGACUGAGACACGGCCCAGACUCCUACGGGAGGCAGCAGUGGGGAAUAUUGGACAAUGGGGGGAACCCUGAUCCAGCCAUGCCGCGUGUGUGAAGAAGGCCUUUUGGUUGUAAAGCACUUUAAGCGAGGAGGAGGCUACCGAGAUUAAUACUCUUGGAUAGUGGACGUUACUCGCAGAAUAAGCACCGGCUAACUCUGUGCCAGCCGCCGCAGUAAGAC